rnacentral:tRNA from 1 species
GUUAGCCUAGCGGUUAAGGCUAUGGAACACCAAUCCGGAGACGGCGGGUUCAAUUCCCGUAC